rnacentral:rRNA from 1 species
GACGAACGCUGGCGGCGUGCCUAAUACAUGCAAGUAGAACGCACAGUUUAUACCGUAGCUUGCUACACCAUAGACUGUGAGUUGCGAACGGGUGAGUAACGCGUAGGUAACCUGCCUGGUAGCGGGGGAUAACUAUUGGAAACGAUAGCUAAUACCGCAUAAUAUUGAUUAUUGCAUGAUAAUUGAUUGAAAGAUGCUAUUGCAUCACUACCAGAUGGACCUGCGUUGUAUUAGCUAGUAGGUGAGGUAACGGCUCACCUAGGCGACGAUACAUAGCCGACCUGAGAGGGUGAUCGGCCACACUGGGACUGAGACACGGCCCAGACUCCUACGGGAGGCAGCAGUAGGGAAUCUUCGGCAAUGGACGAAAGUCUAACCGAGCAACGCCGCGUGAGUGAAGAAGGUUGUCGGAUCGUAAAGCUCUGUUGUAAGAGAAGAACGGGUGUGAGAGUGGAAAGUUCACACUGUGACGGUAUCUUACCAGAAAGGGACGGCUAACUACGUG